GUCGAAUGGGUUUAGACCCAUGGCGAACGGGGGAGUAACGCGUAGGAAGUUGCUCCGGAGUUCGGGAUAACCAAUCGAAAGGCUGGCUAAUACCGAAUAGUCCCGCAAGGGUAAAGAUUUAUUGCUCCGGAAGACGCCUGCGUCCUAUCAGUUUGUUGGUGAGGUAACGGCUCACCAAGACUAUGACGGGUAACUGGUCUGAGAGGAUGAUCAGUCACAGUGGAACUGAGACACGGUCCACACUCCUACGGGAGGCAGCAGUAGGGAAUUGUCGGCAAUGGACGAAAGUCUGACCGCGCGACGCCGCGUGGAGGAAGAAGGCCUUAGGGUUGUAAACUUCUUUUAUGGGGGACGAUUAUGACGGUACCCCACGAAUAAGGGCCUGCUAACUACGUGCCAGCAGCAGCGGUAAUACGUAGGGCUCGAGCAUUAUCCGGAAUUAUUGGGUGUAAAGAAUGUGUAGGUGUUCCUACAAGUCGGUUGUUAAAUCUCACUGCCCAACAGUGAGACCGCAAGCGAAACUGUAGGAAUUGAGGUUUGCAGGGGCAAGUAGAAUUCUUGGAGUAGAGGUGAAAUUCGUUGAUACCAAGAGGAAUACCAAUGGCGAAGGCAG
rnacentral:rRNA from 1 species